UAAUCUUCAGACCAAAUAAAUUUCUGAUU
rnacentral:sRNA from 1 species